UUGGGCAGGAGUGUGUGACAGUAUGGAAUAUAAAUGUGACCAACUGAUCAAUGGAGGAGGAAACAAAACAAUUUUUAGGGCUUUUUUGCCUUUUCCUUCCCCUUUAAACAUUUCCUCCUAAUGUCAGCGAAUUUUCCAUACUGUCUCCUACUCCUGUUUCAGCUCCCACAGGACUUAGCUCAGAGAAUUUGCCUUAUUCAGGACAGGUGGGAGGACAGGGGUGGGGUUUUCUCUAAAAGCAUCCUAAGGAACUGCCAAUCAGACAUGCGCAUACCGUGAUGAAAUGGGCUGAAGGCCUAUGAUUGGCAAGGUUAAUUUUAACAUCUCAUUUCACUUCAGUCUUAAAUCGUUUCAUUAUGAUUUUUUCGGCGCACUAUAUGAAGAGGAAAGAUACCUUCAAUGUCAACUAGCUCCCUUCCUUUACUCUCUCUCUCUCUCUCUCUCUCUUCACUUCUCUCCGCUCUGAUCCUUAAACUCUCAAACGCUGAAUCAGCUGCCAGUAUACAGAGAUCCCGCUGCCAUUCCCCUCCACGAAGGCCAACUCUCACGGUAUGGCCAGCAGACAUGAAGUCCAGGACUCAUCCAAAAAUGCUUUGCUAAAGCUGGUAAAAUGGAACCAAAUCAACUGUUCAAUGGAUUUGGUCCCCUUCAACCAGCUGUAGCUGUGCAUUGAUCACCCCAGAGGACAGAAACAUGGACCAAGAAGAUCUGGUAGUUUGCCAGCAUACACCCAUUGUGCCGGAUCAACCGACAACAGCUUCUGACAGGAUCUGACCAUCUAUCUAAGACGCUGCCCUGUAUGGAACUGCUGAUCCAGCUUUAACGGCAGUCUUAUACAUUUCAAUCCACACUUUACGGUUUAUAAUAAAAUGAUUAAACACUCAAAAGGUUUAUUAAAACCCAGGUGAGCAUUAUACGCAUCGUGCUGUGUACUAUUUAUGAUCUACAGUAUAAUAUCUGAUUAUGUGUUCAACCCAGAUUACAGUCACCAGGAUACAAGGCUAGUGCGCUUUAUGGCCACCCAUUGAUUUCUUGUCUUGAUAGUGAAAGAGAGAGAUGUACAUGCAGGGAGAAGCAGUGAGUGAGAACUGCACAUCAAGGUCUUGAAUAAGUAAAGCAAUCUGCCUUUUCUCUCUCUUUUCUCCUCUUUCUCUCCUCCUGCUUGUCAUGACCCUUAAUGCAAGUGUCUGAUCAAUAAAAGUUAAUCCUGAGAUCCAUAAA